ACUCCUACGGGAGGCAGCAGUGGGGAAUAUUGGACACUGGGCGCAAGCCUGAUCCAGCCAUGCCGCGUGAGUGAUGAAGGCCCUAGGGUUGUAAAGCUCUUUUGUGCGGGACGAUAAUGACGGUACCGCAAGAAUAAGCCCCGGCUAACUUCGUGCCAGCAGCCGCGGUAAUACGAAGGGGGCUAGCGUUGCUCGGAAUCACUGGGCGUAAAGGGUGCGUAGGCGGGUCUUGAAGUCAGGGGUGAAAUCCUGGAGCUCAACUCCAGAACUGCCUUUGAUACUGAAGAUCUUGAGUUCGGGAGAGGUGAGUGGAACUGCGAGUGUAGAGGUGAAAUUCGUAGAUAUUCGCAAGAACACCAGUGGCGAAGGCGGCUCACUGGCCCGAUACUGACGCUGAGGCACGAAAGCGUGGGGAGCAAACAGGAUUAGAUACCCUUGUAGUCCCAUGAU
rnacentral:rRNA from 1 species